GUCUAAUUUCUAUUCCUUUUUAAGUGAAUAAGAUGUGAUGCUGUGCUAUGGAAAUUAAUAUUUUAUUAUGGGCAACUGAUAAAUCUGGAAGUCUUUCAGCAGAAUAAUCAAUCUAGUCACAUUGUGGAGUUUAGGCAAGUCUUAACAGAGACUAGAGGAAAGGAAAUCUGUACUGGGAUAUCCAGAUGGCAUCAAAUAAGCAUAUAAUCUACAUCAGUAACACCAGAAAAGAAGAAACAUUUGGAGAAGGGAAGACAUCAAAAUCAAUUCAGUACAUACUAUUUGAAUGUAAAGACAGCAUGUCAAAUGGAAGAAAAUAUUUGCAAACUAUUCAUCUAACAAGGGACUAAUAUCCAGAAUACACAAGGAAUUCAAACAACUCAAAAGUAAGGAAGAUAAUAAUAAUCCCAUUAGAAAGUGGGCAAAGAACGUGAAUAGACAUUUCUCAAAAGAAGACAUACAAGUGGCCAACAGGUAUAUGAAAAAUGCUCAACAUACCUAAUCUUCAAGGAAAUGAAAAUCAAAACAGAAAGAGAUAUCAUCUUACCCCAGUAAGAAUGGCUAUUACUAAAAAGACAAAAACAGUGCUGAAAAUUUUCAUGGAGAUGGAGCAAGAUAGCCAAAUAGAAGACUCCAGCAAUCAUCCUCCCAAAAGGCACAUCAAAUUGAACAGCUAUCCACACAUAAAAGUGCCUUCAUAUGAACCAAAAAUCAGACAUAUUUUAAAACUAUAAAUCACAAUGAGGAAGUCAUUAGGGAUUCAAAGAAAAAUCUUCAAUAGAAGAAAGAGAACAAGCACUGAAAAAAAAACCAACAGAAUAUCUGAAGACUGUGGGACAACUGCAAAAUCUCUAACAUCUCUCUAAUGAAAAUUCCAUAAGGAGAAAAGAAACGAUAGGAACAGAAGAAAUAUUUGAAACAAUAAUGACUGAGAUUUUCCCCAAAUGAAUGUAAGACAGCAAACCAGAGAUCCAAGAAGCUCAGAAAACACAAAGCAAAAUAAAUAUAAAACAAAACAAAAACUCCAAAUGAUGCCUAGGCAUAUCAUUUUUAAACUAUAAAAAAACAAACAAGAAGAAAAAAUCCUGAGAGCAGUCAGAGGAUAGAGACACUUUACCUCUAAAACAAUAAUUACAUCUGACUUCCCUUGCACUUUUCAGUGCAAGCAAGAAAAGAAUGGAUUGAAAUAGUUAAACUGUUGAUAGAAAAGAAACACCAACCUAGAAUUCUGUACCAUAAAAAUUAUCUUUCCAAAGUGAAAGAAAAAUAAAGACUUCCUCAGACAAAUAAUAAUUGAUGAAAUUUGUUGCCAGUAGCUGCCUUGUAAUAAAUAGUAAAGAAAUUUCUUUAGAAAGAAGGAAAAUUUUAUAGGUUAGAAACCUGAAUGAAGAAAGAACAUCAAAGAAGGAAUAAAUGAAGUAAAAUUAAAACUUAUUUUUCUUACUCUUAAUCUAACAAAUAAAAUUUUGUUCAAAAUAAUAAUGGCAAUAAAUUCAAUUAUAUAUUCUAUUAUGUAUGUUGAUAUAUACAUAAUUGAUAUGGUUUGACCCUGUGCCCCUACCCAAAUUUGACCUUGAAUUGAAGUAAUCCCCUUAUGUCAAGGGCAGGACCAGGUGGAGAUAAUUGAAUCACAGUGGCGUUUUCCCCCAUACUGUCCUCAUGAUAGUGAGUUCUCAUGACGUCUGUUGGUUUUAUAAGGGGCUUUCUCCCCAUUCACUCUGCACUUCUCCUUGCUGCUGCCAUGUGAAGAAGGAUGUGUUUGCUUCCACUUUUGCCAUGAUUGUAAGUUUCCUGAGGCUUCCCCAGAUAUGCUGAACAUGAAUCAAUUAAACCUUUUCUCUUUAUAAACUAACACAGUCUCAGAUAUGUCUUUAUUAGCAGUGAGAAUGUACUAAUACAAUAAUCAAGUAUAUUGUACUUAUAUAUGUUUAUGUGUAUGUGUAUAUAUACACAAAUGAAAUAAAUGACCACAAUGAUACAAGGGAUGGGGAGGAAUCAGGAUUAUUUUGUUAUUAGAAGGUGCUCACAUUACACAUAAAGUGUUUUAAUGUUAUUUAAAAGUGGAUUUGGGUUCCUUACAAAUGCCUAUGACAAACUCCACAGCAACCACCAUAAAAGCUAAAGAACAGGAUGCAUAACUGAUAUGCUAAGAGACAGAGAAAAUCGAAUUAUAUCAAGUGUUCAACUGAAUACCACAAAGCACAGAAAAAGAGUGGAAAACAAAAACAGACAAAAAGAACAAGGGAAACAAAUAGAAAAAGUAACAAAUAUGGAAGUUGUUAACCUAAACAUAUCAAUAAUCACUUUGAACACGUUAAACAACAGAGGUUGUCAGAGAGGGUCAAAAAAUGAGACCCAGUUAUAUAUAUUCUACAAGAAACCCACUGUAAAUAUAAAG
rnacentral:lncRNA from 1 species